rnacentral:rRNA from 1 species
UGGGGAAUCUUGCACAAUGGGGGCAACCCUGAUGCAGCGACGCCGCGUGAGCGAUGAAGCCCUUCGGGGCGUAAAGCUCUUUCGACCGGAACGAUAAUGACGGUACCGGGAGAAGAAGCUGCGGCUAACUACGUGCCAGCAGCCGCGGUAAUACGUAGGCAGCAAGCGUUGUUCGGAGUUACUGGGCGUAAAGCGCGCGUAGGCGGACCGUUAAGUCGGAGGUGAAAGCCUGGGGCUCAACCCCAGAACUGCCUUCGAUACUGUCGGUCUCGAGUCCGGGAGAGGUGAGUGGAACUGCCAGUGUAGAGGUGAAAUUCGUAGAUAUUCGCAAGAACACCAGUGGCGAAGGCGGCUCACUGGCCCGAUACUGACGCUGAGGUGCGAAAGCGUGGGGAGCAAACA